rnacentral:lncRNA from 1 species
GAAAAGUUCUCAAAAGAAUCAAUAAAAGGGUGGUGGAGGAGGAGAUGCAUACGAGACUCCGAUGACGGGUGGCAAAGGCCCUUCAUAUACAGGUGCAGGUGGUGGAGAUGACGGUGGUGGCGGUGAAUUGUAAUGAUAAACAGGUGUUGGAGGUGGCGGUGAUGGUGGUGGUGGUGAAUUAUAUUGAAUUGGGGGAGGUGGUGGUGAUGGUGAUGGUGGCGGAUGGUAAGGUGCAGAGUGUGGUGAUGGUGGUGGUGGUGAAUGCUCUUCACAAGGUGGUGGAGGUGGUGGCGGAGGAGGUGACUCUAUACAAGGUGGUGGAGAUGGGGGUGGCGGUGGUGGUGAAUAAACUGGUGGGGGAGGAGAGUGAACUGGAGGAGGUGGUGGCGGUGAUAAAUAGGGAUAAACUGGUGGUGGUGGUGGUGGUGAAUGUGGUGGUGGCGGUGGCGAAUGAGGUGGAGGUGGCGGUGGAGAGGCGGCGAAUACACUGGUGGUGGAGGUGGUGGCGAAUACACCGGCGGUGGGGGUGGUGGAGGGGAAUGAGGAAUGUAAACAGGCGACGGCGGAG